rnacentral:rRNA from 1 species
UCCGUAGGUGGAUAAUUAAGUCAGAGGUGAAAUCCUGCAGCUCAACUGUAGAAUUGCCUUUGAUACUGGUUAUCUUGAGUCAUUAUGAAGUGGUUAGAAUGUGUAGUGUAGCGGUGAAAUGCAUAGAUAUUACACAGAAUACCGAUUGCGAAGGCAGAUCACUAAUAAUGUACUGACACUGAGGGACGAAAGCGUGGGGAGCGAACAGGAUUAGAGACCCUGGUAGUCC